ACACGACUACGAGUCUGAUCCUGGCUCAGGAUGAACGCUAGCGGCAGGCCUAAUACAUGCAAGUCGAACGGAUAUAUGUUUUUCGGAAUAUAUAUUAGUGGCGCACGGGUGAGUAACACGUACAUAACUUGCCCUCAAGCGGGGGAUAGCCUUGGGAAACUGAGAGUAAUACCCCAUAGAAUUAUUGGACGGCAUCGUUUGAUAAUUAAAACUACGGUGUUUGGGGAUAGAUGUGCGUCUGAUUAGCUAGUUGGUGAGGUAACUGCUCACCAAGGCGACGAUCAGUAGGGGGCGUGAGAGCGUGGCCCCCCACACGGGUACUGAGACACGGACCCGACUCCUACGGGAGGCAGCAGUAAGGAAUAUUGGUCAAUGGAGGGAACUCUGAACCAGCCAUGCCGCGUGAAGGAUGACGGCCCUCUGGGUUGUAAACUUCUUUUGGAUGGGGCGAAAAAACGGGAUUUAUCCUGGACUGACGGUACCAUCAGAAUAAGCACCGGCUAACUCCGUG
rnacentral:rRNA from 1 species